UACGUAGGGGGCGAGCGUUGUCCGAAGUUACUGGGCGUAAAGAGCGCGUAGGCGGGUCUUAAGUGAGAGGUGAAAGGUUCAGGGCUCAACCCGAACACUGCCUUUCAUACUGGGGAUCUUGAGUGCGGGAGAGGCGAGUGGAAUGGUCGGUGUAGCGGUGAAAUGCGUAGAUAUCGAUCGGAACACCCAUGGCGAAGGCAGCUCGCUGGCCUGCAACUGACGCUGAGGCGCGAAAGCGUGGGGGAGCAAACAGG
rnacentral:rRNA from 1 species